CCGGUUGAUCCUGCCAGUAGUGAUAUGCUUGUUUCAAAGAUUAAGCCAUGCAUGUCUAAGUAUAAGCGAACUUAUACAGUGAAACUGCGGAUGGCUCAUUAAAACAGUUUGAAUUUAUUUGAUGAAUGUAUGAGAAUACUACUUGGAUAACCGUAGUAAUUCUAGAGCUAAUACAUGCAACGACGCCCGACCGUUUCACUACGGAAGGGCUGUAUUUAUUGGAUACCAAAACCAUCCUUCCCUCGGGAAGUUUUGUUUGAUGAUUCACAAUAACUGAUCGGAUCGCCACUGUGGCGGCGACAGGUCAUUCAACAUUCUGCCCUAUCAGCUUUCGAUGGUUGUGUAGUGGACAACCAUGGCCAUAACGGGUAACGGAGAAUCAGGGUUCGAUUCCGGAGAAGGAGCUUGAGAAUUGGCUACUACAUCUAAGGAAGGCAGCAGGCGCGCAAAUUACCCAAUCCCGAUUCGGGGAGGUAGUGACAAAAAAUAACAAUACCGGGCCUUUUUGGGCUUGGUAAUUGGAAUGAGGGAGAGUUAAACGGACCAUCGAGUAUCCAUUGGAGGGCAAGUCUGGUGCCAGCAGCUGCGGUAAUACCAGCUCCAAUAGCGUAUAUUAAAGUUGUUGCAGUUAAAAAGCUCGUAGUUGGACUUGUGUGCGCUGUCCGCGGGUGGCCUGCGCCCAAAAGGGCGUUUCGGUUCGGCCCCGGUGGCGCCUUGAAAUCUGCAGCUGGGGGGACGUUGGCCUUAACUGGUCGGCGACCGCACGCCGGCUGCUCGGUUACUGUGAGAAAAUUAGAGUGUUCAAGGCAGGCAUUGGGUGCAAUUGAAUACAUUAGCAUGGAAUAAUAAAAUAUGGCUCCUGCCGUAUUUUGUUGGUUUUGACUGGUGGGAGUAAUGAUUGAUAGGGACGGUUGGGGGUGCUAGUAUUGAGCGGCCAGAGGUGAAAUUCAUGGAUUCGCUCAAGACUAACUUAUGCGAAAGCAUUCACCAAGGACGUCCUCUUUAAUCAAGAACGAAAGUUGGGGGAUCGAAGACGAUCAGAUACCGUCGUAGUCUCAACCAUAAACUAUGUCGACUUGGGAUCGGCGGUAGUUUUUUCAUUAAGACACUGUCGGGACCACGGGAGAAAUCAAAGUGUCUGGACUCUGGGGGAAGUAUGGUCGCAAGGCUGAAACUUGAAGGAAUUGACGGAAGGGCACCACCAGGAGUGGAGCCUGCGGC
rnacentral:rRNA from 1 species